rnacentral:pre_miRNA from 1 species
UAAUAAUAAUAAUAAUGAUGAUGAUGAUGAUGAUGAUGAUGAUAAUAGUCGUCGUCAUCAUCAUUAUCAUCAUCAUCAUUUAACAUC